ensembl:lncRNA
CGACUUGCUAAGGUCCAGACAACUCCUCGUGCGUUGCUGUGUGCCUCUUCCACAUACCAUGAUAAGCAGUAUCUCAUUACUUGAAAAAGUGUUAGCAAAGGCAAGAGCUGCAAGGAACUACCCAGUCCCAUCUUCACCCUGUGACUUCAGCUUUGUCAGAAGGAGCUUCGGGACACCACGGAGCACCCUCUGAGCCCUAAGCACUCAGUGCUUCAUUCAAUGGGCAUUGCAAAGGAAAUGCUUGUUGAGAAAACCCUCAUGAAGCAACCUCAGUCACAUUUACAGGCACGGAAAGACUGCUAUUCAGUUCUUGUGCUCAAGGGUCUCAAGAAGGCCUGGGAAAAAGGCCUUUUUCUUUUUUUUUUUUUUCAACAGGAAAACACAAUUCCACCCUUUCC